rnacentral:lncRNA from 1 species
AGAGCCCAUGCAUAAACCAUUUGGUUUUGCAAUUAAAAACAGGUUUGGCUUCCCUCUGCAUCAGUAAGACAACGUCAAAGCAACAUUCGUCCUGAAAAUUUUCCCUUGUGAAUUCAAAUGAACUGGGAAACUAGAACAACUGAUCAACUUUGGUCUCUCAAAGUCUCUUCCAAAGGAUUUGCAGAGAUCCCUUUCUGCUGUACCAACACCAUGGUGUUUCCUGGCUCCCCCUCCUCAUCAUGGCCCUUCAUCACCGCCCAGCCUCUAAGGUUCUGCACUUUCAUACACCCUGCCAUUUGGCUUGGCCCUUCAAUCAACAAGUCCUGCAUACCUGAUUGAUCUAGACCAGAAUAUCAUAUCAUAAAAGAUCCCCUGGGCAUUUAUUGCUUUCCUUGGAGCUUCUAAUUCCAUUCCAAGAUGUUUGUGUCCUUUGGGGUGUUGAUGUUUGUUUUGUCUUUGACACAGUGUCUCUCUAAGCAGCCCAGGUGAGCCUUGGGCUUGUAAUCAUUCUGCCAUUUUCCCUCACAUGCUUGGGUUACAGGCAUAUCUGACUCUAUGAAGCUUGUCUAUG